GAUGAAGAACGCAGUGAAAUGCGAUAAGUAAUGUGAAUUGCAGAAUUCAGUGAAUCAUCGAAUCUUUGAACGCACAUUGCGCCCCUUGGUAUUCCGAGGGGCAUGCCUGUUCGAGCGUCAUUAUAACCCCUCAAGCUCAGCUUGGUGUUGGGGCCUGCUGCACUGGCAGCCCUUAAAAUCAGUGGCGGCGCCAUCUGGCUCUAAGCGUAGUAAUUCUUCUCGCUAUGGAGUCCUGGUGGAUGCUUGCCAUCAACCCCCAAUUUUUCUAUGGUUGACCUCGGAUCAGGUAGAGAUACCCGCUGAACUUAAGCAUAUCAAUAAGCGGAGGA
rnacentral:misc_RNA from 1 species